rnacentral:tRNA from 1 species
GGCGAGGUGGGAUAAUGGUCGUCCGCCGGGCUCAUAAUCCGGAGAUUAUUGGUUCAAGUCCAAUACUCGCCA